GUGGGGAAUUUUGGACAAUGGGCGCAAGCCUGAUCCAGCAAUGCCGCGUGCAGGAAGAAGGCCUUCGGGUUGUAAACUGCUUUUGUACGGAACGAAAAGGCUCUGGUUAAUACCUGGGGCUCAUGACGGUACCGUAAGAAUAAGCACCGGCUAACUACGUGCCAGCAGCCGCGGUAAUACGUAGGGUGCAAGCGUUAAUCGGAAUUACUGGGCGUAAAGCGUGCGCAGGCGGUUUUGUAAGACAGACGUGAAAUCCCCGGGCUCAACCUGGGAAUGGCGUUUGUGACUGCAAAGCUGGAGUGCGGCAGAGGGGGAUGGAAUUCCGCGUGUAGCAGUGAAAGGCGUAGAUAUGCGGAGGAACACCGAUGGCGAAGGCAAUCCCCUGGGCCUGCACUGACGCUCAUGCACGAAAGCGUGGGGAGCAAACAGGAUUAGAAACCCGGGUAGUCC
rnacentral:rRNA from 1 species